AUGUUUCUUCUUUAUGAAUUUUAUUUCAUCUUCAUGUUUCUGUUUCAUUUCAUCUUGUUUUUUCUCUUCUCUUUCUUUUCUCUCUCUCUCUCUUCUCUUCAUCUCUUCUUCUUGUUCUUGUUUCAGAUCUUCAAUCAUGUUCUUCCAUCUCUUUCUCUCUUCUUCUUGUCUCUCAUCAUCUUCUCGUUUUCUUCUCUCCCACUCCUCUUUUCUCUCUCGUUCCAGUCGUUCAUAAUGAUUUUUCAUUUCAGUUUUGUUUUGUUCAUAUUCUCUCUCUUUUUCUUCUCUUUCUCUUUUUUCUUUCUGUCUCUCUUUCUCUUCUUGUUCUUUCCUCAUUUUCUCCUCCAAAUCUCUCUUCUUUAUUUCUUUUUCUUCUUUGAUCUUUAACUGUGUUAUAACACGUUCUUGUUCAUUUCUCAUCUUUUCUUGAUCUCGUCUGUAUUUUUCUUCUCCUGUUUUUUGCUGUUUUUCAUACUGUGAUAUCUGAUUUUCAAACUCUUUCUUCAUUUCUUUAAUUUUGUUAUUAUACUCAGCUCUUUGCUGUAUUUCUUCUUCUGAUCGUUCCUGGUUUUCCUUCUCUCUUUUCUUCUUUUCUGUUUU
ensembl:lncRNA